GUUGGUGAUGCCAUCAGAUUCGAGCUGGCUUCUGUGAGCCUUGUUUCUGCCUCUGCUACACCAGCCUCUGCAAGGACCACGCUGCUCGCUCUUGGGCUGGGUCUUCAGCGACCGCCACCCUGAUCAGUCAGGAGCCACCAACAUCGAGGUAGGACCUUCCACCAGCAGAGAGAUACACCUGCCAGAAGACUGAGAUGAUGUGUGCCUGUAUUUUGCUCCCUUCCUCCAUUUUAAUAUUUCUCCUCCUGUGGUUUGGAGCACAGAAGCUGUACCUGCCAACACCCAGGACACUGUGAGGACCUGGAGUUUCUCAUGUUGGGGAUGCCCGGGUCCCAGGCCAGUGGAGAGCCAGGAGAACGCCGUGUGUGAAGCGGGUUUUAUCUGCACGAACACAAGGCCAGAGCCCUGGCUGACAGUGCAGACUCGCCUCCUCCCUCCUAUUCAUCCCUCCAUCCCGCGCCCUUGCCAAGGGCUCCUUUCUCUGACCCCUGGCUUUCUCCGUUCCCCAGCAUUCCGGGGACUUCAUCCAGCGUGCAUAACCUGCGCCCUUCAGUAAUCACGCAAACCCGAUUCAAUGACGUCAUGCCCUGGCACCUCCGAGCCAGCGCCCUGCGGUUUCCGGCUGCGCUUCCAGCCGCGCCACUGCCCGCAGAUGGACCCGGGUCUGGGUCUCUACUGUGCCUUCUUCCUGAGGAGUCACACUGCACGGCGGUGCAUGCCUGCCCAGCUCAAGCUCCUUUCCUCGCUGUUCAUCCGCAUGAAAUCUCCCAGUCAUCUGCAAAAGGAAUGCUGAGAGGCUUUGUUGGCCUAAAGCACCAGAGAGGGAAGCAGAUGACAACCGGUUUCAAAAAAAAAAAGACAGAAGAGACUUUCCUAAGAUGAAAAACUUCUGAGAACAUUCACAGAUGGUUGCUGUGCCAGGGAGCUCCCAGCAUCUGGCCACAGCGAUCCAGUGCACUAGGGCGGACAAAGUUGUUGAUGUCGUGCUUUAAA